GGGGCUGUCCUGGUUUCGACGUGGGUUCGGAAUCGGCGCGGUGCAUGUCGAGCUUGAGUGACGCUCGUAAAUCUCCAUUCAAAAAAGUAACUGCAAACGACGAACGUUUCGCACUCGCCGCUUAAUCCGGUGAGCCUUGCAACAGCACGCUGAUGGGCUGGGCAAGGGGGUAGCAAUACCUCCCGGCUGCAAGGGAAUUCACAUCAGCUGGCUCCCUGCCGGGCACCUUGGCAGGAAGCGAGAUCCAAGGGUGCUGGCUGGCGGUAUAGCGUGUGUCUGCGCGAUACCGGCGGCGAGAUCCAAACCAGAACACUAAACAUGUAGAUCUGCCCGAAGAAGGCUUGCGGACGCGGGUUCAAUUCCCGCCAGCUCCACCA
rnacentral:tmRNA from 1 species